rnacentral:rRNA from 1 species
AAGAAACCAACAGGGAUUGCCUCAGUAACGGCGAGUGAAGCGGCAAAAGCUCAAAUUUGAAAUCUAGCACCUUCGGUGUUCGAGUUGUAAUUUGAAGAUGGUAACCUUGGGUUUGGCUCUUGUCUAUGUUCCUUGGAACAGGACGUCAUAGAGGGUGAGAAUCCCGUCUGAUGAGAUGCCCAUUCCUAUGUAAGGUGCUAUCGAAGAGUCGAGUUGUUUGGGAAUGCAGCUCUAAGUGGGUGGUAAAUUCCAUCUAAAGCUAAAUAUUGGCGAGAGACCGAUAGCGAACAAGUACAGUGAUGGAAAGAUGAAAAGAACUUUGAAAAGAGAGUGAAAAAGUACGUGAAAUUGUUGAAAGGGAAGGGCAUUAGAUCAGACUUGGUGUUUUACGAUUAUCUUCUCUUCUUGAGUUGUGCACUCGUAUUUCACUGGGCCAGCAUCGAUUCGGAUGGUAAGAUAAUGACAGUUGAACGUGGCUCCAUUCGUGGAGUGUUAUAGCUUCUGUUGAUAUUGCCUGUCUGGAUCGAGGGCUGCGUCUUUUGACUAGGAUGCUGGCGUAAUGAUCUAAUGCCGCCCGUCUUGAAACACGGACC